CAUUACCGAGUUUACAACUCCCAAACCCCUGUGAACAUACCUUAAUGUUGCCUCGGCGGAUCAGCCCGCGCCCCGUAAAACGGGACGGCCCGCCAGAGGACCCAAACUCUAAUGUUUCUUAUUGUAACUUCUGAGUAAAACAAACAAAUAAAUCAAAACUUUCAACAACGGAUCUCUUGGUUCUGGCAUCGAUGAAGAACGCAGCAAAAUGCGAUAAGUAAUGUGAAUUGCAGAAUUCAGUGAAUCAUCGAAUCUUUGAACGCACAUUGCGCCCGCUGGUAUUCCGGCGGGCAUGCCUGUUCGAGCGUCAUUUCAACCCUCAAGCCCCCGGGUUUGGUGUUGGGGAUCGGCUCUGCCCUUCUGGGCGGUGCCGCCCCCGAAAUACAUUGGCGGUCUCGCUGCAGCCUCCAUUGCGUAGUAGCUAACACCUCGCAACUGGAACGCGGCGCGGCCAUGCCGUAAAACCCCAACUUCUGAAUGUUGACCUCGGAUCAGGUAGGAAUACCCGCUGAACUUAAGCAUAUCAAUAAG
rnacentral:rRNA from 1 species